rnacentral:rRNA from 1 species
GUAGGGAAUAUUGGGCAAUGGAUGCAAGUCUGACCCAGCCAUCCCGCGUGCCGGAAGAAGGCCCUCAGGGUUGUAAACGGCUUUUGACGGUGAAGAAUCGACAGGAUGCGUCCUGUUUUGACGGUAGCCGUUGAAUAAGCACCGGCUAACUCCGUGCCAGCAGCCGCGGUAAUACGGAGGGUGCGAGCGUUGUCCGGAUUUAUUGGGUUUAAAGGGUGCGUAGGCUGGAAGGUCAGUCAGCGGUGAAAAGCUGUCGCUUAACGAUAGUCUUGCCGCAGAUACUUCCUUUCUUGGAUGAGGAGGAGGCCACUAGAACGGAUGGUGUAGCGGUGAAAUGCAUAGAUAUCAUCCAGAACACCGAUUGCGAAGGCAGGUGGCUGUACCUUAAUCGACGCUGAUGCACGAAAGCAUGGGGAGCAAACAGGAUUAGAAACCCGGGUAGUCC